rnacentral:rRNA from 1 species
UACGUAGGUGGCAAGCGUUGUCCGGAUUUACUGGGCGUAAAGAGCGCGCAGGCGGUCGAUUUAGUCGCGUGUGAAAGCCCCCGGCUCAACUGGGGAGGGUCACGCGAUACUGAUCGACUCGAAGGCAGGAGAGGGUAGUGGAAUUCCCGGUGUAGUGGUGAAAUGCGUAGAUAUCGGGAGGAACACCCGUGGCGAAGGCGGUUCUCUGGGACGGUACUGGACGCUGAGACGCGAAAGCCAGGGGAGCGAAACGGGAUU